GACGUAGGAUGCGAGCGUUGUCCGGAUUUACUGGGCGUAAAGGGCUCGUAGGCGGCCAACUAAGUCAGACGUGAAAUCCCUCGGCUUAACCGGGGAACUGCAUCUGAUACUGGAUGGCUUGAGUUCGGGAGAGGGAUGCGGAAUUCCAGGUGUAGCGGUGAAAUGCGUAGAUAUCUGGAGGAGCACCGGUGGCGAAGGCGGCAUCCUGGACCGACACUGACGCUGAGGAGCGAAAGCCAGGGGAGCAAACGGG
rnacentral:rRNA from 1 species